GACCUCAAAACCCUAGACUCCCCAACCGCAGCCGAAACCACACUCUACAAUGCGAGUCUCAUCAAUUAAGUGCUGAGUUAUGUAUGUAUGAAACCAAGAAGGGGAAUGCGGAGAUGAAAUCAUAAAGGUUUUGGUUUUAGAAAGUGUCGAGGCUUCAAGGCGUUUAGGUGUGAAAGCUGAGUUGCAAGACGAGAGCUUUAUGCAUGUGAGACGUUACUAUAUGUAUCACCAAAAGCUCUAUUUCUCAAUGCUUUUGAACAUCACCUUUUUUGAUGAAGUAAACGUUCAUAAUCUAUUCAUCCUUUCGACCCGACUUUGACCCAUAUGUGCAUUUAGCUCCGCCUUAAGGCCUCAAGAUAAUUUUCUGAACUUGGUUUUUGAAAACCAAGAUAGAGCUAGAAAAUGGACCUGUAGACCCUGUGUGUUUGUUCAUCGCUCAUGUAUGAACUUGUGGAGCCUUGUACAAUGCAUAACUUGUCACACGUGUUGAAGCUAGUGACUUGACUUGGGUUGCAUGAUGAGACAUUGAUGUGAAACUUGAAGGUGAAAAUAUCGUUAAGGCCAGGGGGUGUGACGAAACAAUGGAACAUGCAUUCAAUUCUUGUUUUGUGGCGCCGGUUAUUUGGAGGUAAGCACAUGGUGUAAAUUACAUCCCAUAUUUGCUUUCUCGAUUAAGGACUGAUUCGGCCUACAUGAGCAUGCAUCGGACAAGCCUUUCAAAAGAAAAUGUGUUCAUGUUGCUAUUAUGACUACAAUGUGGAGCUUAUGGCAUGCUAGAAACAACCUAAUUUUCUCUAAUGUCCCAGUGAAGAUUCAUGAUAUCGUGGGAGAGAUUAGAGAUCAGCAAUCAGCUUUUUGUGUCGCUCUAAGUCGGCUUGUUUAGAUUGAUUUAAAUGGAAGUCGUUUGAUGUAUAAUCGUCUUAUAUUUCAGUUAUUCAUAACCAAAUGUAAAACUAUAGGAUGGAAAAACUAACCAAAAGAGCGAACAACACUGAAAAACGUCAACCUCGCCGUAACGCGUGGGUCUCCUGUAAAUCCAUCAUAAAUGGUAUAAUUAAGUAAAAACUUGUGUAGACAUGUUAUACGUCAUUUGUUAUAUAUUUCUUUUCAAACCUAAAUUUUAAAGAGAUUUACUCAUUUAUCUACAACAUAACCUAUUUAUUUUGUUUGGGUCAAAUAGAAUCCACCAUAAGUUGGUUGUUCUAUUUUGUAUGGGUUAAAAGGAAUCCUUUCAAAGUUAGUUGUUGCAUUGCAUGUGAUACAAAAAGGAUUCCCUUGGCAUCAAACGUAUCGAUCGUACGUGAAAGAUAUUUGGGACGUGGUGUCGACGUUGUGCGGUCUGGAAAACGAGACUGUUGAUCACAUUCUUAUGCGUGAAGCAGCUGGCAAGAGGAAUGGUGUGGGAGUUGGCAUUCUAAAAGGUGGAACAAGUUCUUCUCAACAAUAAUGUAUGAAAGUAUGAGCUUUUGAUUCAUGUGAAAAGCUAGAAAAGCGUUGGUCCUCAAUAAAGUACUCAAGCUAUCACAAGCUAGGACAAUGAAGAAUCUUAAGUUACAACUUUUUCGUGUGGAUUAAGCGCAUAUAUCCACAGAGGAGAAUAUGGAGUGUGGUCAGUCUAGUGUACUAGUGUAGUGUCUGGAUGUUGUGCUUGU
rnacentral:lncRNA from 1 species